rnacentral:rRNA from 1 species
GGGAAUCUUCCACAAUGGGCGAAAGCCUGAUGCAGCAACGCCGCGUGAGUGAUGACGGCCUUCGGGUUGUAAAGCUCUGUCUUCAGGGACGAUAAUGACGGUACUUGAGGAGGAAGCCCCGGCUAACUACGUGCCAGCAGCCGCGGUAAUACGUAGGGGGCUAGCGUUAUCCGGAAUUACUGGGCGUAAAGGGUGCGUAGGUGGUUUCUUAAGUCAGAGGUGAAAGGCUACGGCUCAACCGUAGUAAGCCUUUGAAACUGGGGAACUUGAGUGCAGGAGAGGAGAGUGGAAUUCCUAGUGUAGCGGUGAAAUGCGUAGAUAUUAGGAGGAACACCAGUUGCGAAGGCGGCUCUCUGGUCUGUAACUGACGCUGAGGUUCGAAAGCGUGGGUAGCA